rnacentral:lncRNA from 1 species
UUUGUCUGUGUGAAUAUAUAUAAAUAUAUCUGAGGCCUGUGCUAAAGAAGGAAAAAUACUAUGUGUUAAUGUCAUUCUGUUUAAUACACUUAUGUCGCAACAGAAAUCUCACAAUUAAAGUCAGCAAAUUGUUGUCUGAUUAGGACAUCUAAUUUUUGAAUUCAAAUGUUUUAUAAACUUGAGAUUACUGACAUGCAUCUUGUAUUCCUUCAUACAUACCUUUGUUUACUUGUGCGUUAAAUAAAGGAAUCAGAAAAUGGAAUGCAUGAGCUUGUAUUUUGACAAGAAGGAUCUGUUUAAAUCUUCCUCAAAGUUGCAUCGCAUAAAAUUUAAACCGAAAACAAAAGAAAAAAAAAACACAUUAGCUUGACUUUUUUAAAAGGCAAUGUUCUUGUUUUAUCUUUCAGCCCAAGAACUUGCCAGUCAAGAUGAAAAACUUCUUCUAAUGGAAUCCAGCUUGAAAGCUACUCAAGAGCAGCUAACUGAGCAAAUAGCAGAAACAGUUCGCCAAGAACAGAACAGUAGAAAACCCCAGGCAGAGCUGAAGACAGUGACAGAAGGGAUUAUUGCUUCUGAAGAAGAAAAAAAUGAUUACAACGUAGCAAAACCAUACUGCAAAGGGUAGUGCAAGAAAUGAAUUCUACCUCACAAUGAAGUCAUCAACCUAAGGAUUACAGAAGGUAAAAUUAUUCACUUAUCUUGUCAAAUGGUCUCUUCUGAAUACUGAUUUAAUCUAUUAAUUUCUAGUAAUAUACCAAACAUGCAACACUAAAUAUACUGAAUAUAUAUACUAUAUAUGAUACAUUAAUUGUUUAUAUACUACAAUAUAUACAAAAUCACAAACUAUUAUACUGAAUAUAUUAAACACUGAUAAUAUAUUAUAUAUGCUAAUAAACUGUUAAAUAUAAACA